GACGAACGCUGGCGGCGUGCUUAGCACAUGCAAGUCGAACGGAAAGGCCCUGCUUUUGUGGGGUGCUCGAGUGGCGAACGGGUGAGUAACACGUGAGUAACCUGCCCUUGACUUUGGGAUAACUUCAGGAAACUGGGGCUAAUACCGGAUAGGAGCUCCUGCUGCAUGGUGGGGGUUGGAAAGUUUCGGCGGUUGGGGAUGGACUCGCGGCUUAUCAGCUUGUUGGUGGGGUAGUGGCUUACCAAGGCUUUGACGGGUAGCCGGCCUGAGAGGGUGACCGGCCACAUUGGGACUGAGAUACGGCCCAGACUCCUACGGGAGGCAGCAGUGGGGAAUAUUGCACAAUGGGCGGAAGCCUGAUGCAGCAACGCCGCGUGCGGGAUGAAGGCCUUCGGGUUGUAAACCGCUUUCGCCUGUGACGAAGCGUGAGUGACGGUAAUGGGUAAAGAAGCACCGGCUAACUACGUG
rnacentral:rRNA from 1 species